GAUUGCUUCAGCUUUAUAGCCACUUUGAUCAAGUGGUUACUUUUUGAAAUGUUAUGAUAACGAUAUUAAAUUCCUAAAGGUGUCUGAAUAAAUAAACAAGUUUUGUGGGUAACUAAAAUAUUUUCGUUAUUUAAUUUACUACGGUAAGAACACAUUUUUACAGAAUGUUAAUGUUCUAAACAGUAUCUACAAAAAAUUGUACACUAAGUGAAAACUUAUAAAAUAAAUUUUAAUUUACAAUUAACAGAGAAAAUCAAUAUUCAAGUUCAACAAGAUAAAGUUAAGCUUUUUAUAGUUAACUUAUAAACUAUUUAUUAUUUACAUUAAUUCUUAACAACGUCAUGAUUUAGAAUAAAAGUAAUUCGAAUUAGUGCGUAUUUUUUAGAUUUACUUUUUUCGACUUCUCAUCGCAUAUUACGAGCGUACAAAAUGUAAAAGUUUAAAAAUUUCUUAAUAAUAAGAUAUUUUUUUAUUUGUUUGGCAUCUAAAAUUAUUAUGUUGCCACUAAGUUUCUGUAAAAUUCCUCGAAAUGAAUGAGCAAUGACAAUCCGAAAAAAAUAAACAUGAAAAUACAAUUGAGUUAUUUGCAUUGAUUUUAAGGCAAUUUGGCUUACGCCGUAAUAUCACAUUAAUAAAUGUACUCAAAGUGAAUAAGACGACGCAAAAAUAUAAUUAUUUGUUCGAGUGUAAGAUCUCCGUUGGUUUGUAGGCAGUAUUUUCGGAUACAAUGGGUAAAUUUUGUCAUGCAUCAUUCCUUAACACUAAAUUUUAUUUACACGAAAAACACAUCGAAAAUGGAAAACGCGAUGGAAGACUGCGUUCUCAGUGCCUACUUAUAGUACA